rnacentral:rRNA from 1 species
CAAUAGCGUAUAUUAAUGUUGUUGCAGUUAAAAAGCUCGUAGUUGGAUUUCUGAUGGGAGCCCUGGUCACUCUAACGAGUGUACUGAUGUGGCGUCCUGUCGUUUCAUGGGGAUGCUUGCUGGUAUUAAGUUAUCGGCUUGUGGAUCCAUGUCGUUUACUGUGAAAAAAUUAGAGUGUUCAAAGCAGGCCAUCGCUGUGAAUACAUUAGCAUGGAAUAAUAAGAUAGGACUGUGGUGCUAUUUUGUUGGUUUGCGUACUACGGUAAUGAUUAAUAGGGAUAGUUGGGGGUAUUCAUAUUCAAUUGUCAGAGGUGAAAUUCUUGGAUUUAUGGAAGAUGAACUACUGCGAAAGCAUUUACCAAGGAUGUUUUCAUUAA